AUGGCAGUAGUUGUUCGGUUUGUGAACAUAGAAGGGUUGAUAAGGGAGCGUUUCCUUGAUCUUGUUCAUGUUAGUGACACUUGUGCUUUGACUCUCAAGAAUAAAAUCAUUGCUGUCCUAGUUGAUAAUGGGUUGAAUGAGCAAGAUAUUAGAGGCCAAGGGUACGAUGGAGCAAGUAAUAUGAGAGGGGAGUGGAAUGGGCUAAAGGCUCUAAUUCUCCAAGAGUGUCCUUAUGCUUAUUAUAUCCAUUGUCUAGCUCAUCAACUCCAAUUGGCUUUGGUUGCCGCUUCAAGGGAGGUAAAUGAGGUUCACAAUUCCAACAUGCAAAUUUUGUUGUGA
rnacentral:rRNA from 1 species